AGCCAGACUCCUACGGGAGGCAGCAGUGGGGGAUAUUGCACAAUGGGGGGAACCCUGAUGCAGCGACGCCGCGUGGGCGAUGGAGCGCCUCGGCGCGUAAAGCCCUAUCAGCAGGGAAGAAGAUGACGGUACCUGACUAAGAAGCCCCGGCUAAAUACGUGCCAGCAGCCGCGGUAAUACGUAUGGGGCAAGCGUUAUCCGGAUUUACUGGGUGUAAAGGGAGCGCAGGCGGCCUGGCAAGCCUGAUGUGAAGUACCGGGGCCCAACCCCGGGGCUGCAUUGGGAACUGCCAGGCUGGAGUGCCGGAGAGGCAGGCGGAAUUCCUAGUGUAGCGGUGAAAUGCGUAGAUAUUAGGAGGAACACCAGUGGCGAAGGCGGCCUGCUGGACGGUGACUGACGCUGAGGCUCGAAAGCGUGGGGAGCAAACAGGAUUAGAUACCCUGGUA
rnacentral:rRNA from 1 species